CUACGUAGGUGGCAAGCGUUGUCCGGAAUUAUUGGGCGUAAAGCGCGCGCAGGUGGUUCCUUAAGUCUGAUGUGAAAGCCCCCGGCUCAACCGGGGAGGGUCAUUGGAAACUGGGGAACUUGAGUGCAGAAGAGGAUAGUGGAAUUCCAAGUGUAGCGGUGAAAUGCGUAGAGAUUUGGAGGAACACCAGUGGCGAAGGCGACUGUCUGGUCUGUAACUUACACUGAGGCGCGAAAGCGUGGGGAGCAAACAGGAUUAGAUACCCUGGUAGUCCACGCCGUAAACGAUGAGUGCUAAGUGUUGGGGGGUUUCCGCCCCUCAGUGCUGCAGCUAACGCAUUAAGCACUCCGCCUGGGGAGUACGGUCGCAAGACUGAAACUCAAAUGAAUUGGCGGGG
rnacentral:rRNA from 1 species